GCUAGGACAAUUUGCGCUACCGAGGCCACCGCUGUUGGAGUAAGCGACAUGGCUCUUGUGGUCUGGAGAAUCAAGAUUCUUUCCAUCCCAGCAUGAUGGGAAGAUAACGGUAGCUCGGAUUCCCCCAGGGCAGUACUUGGUUGGAAGUUCCCCAGUAUCUUUACCAUCGCACGGAGCGAAACCCUCCCCGUUUCCAAGGCAGCGAUGACAUAUUGAGGCUUUCUUGUCG
rnacentral:misc_RNA from 1 species